rnacentral:rRNA from 1 species
UACGUAGGUGACCAGCGUUGUCCGGAUUUACUGGGCGUAAAGAGCGCGCAGGCGGUCGUUCAAGUCGAGUGUGAAAGCCCCCGGCUCAACUGGGGAGGGUCACUUGAUACUGAUCGACUCGAAGGCAGGAGAGGGAAGCGGAAUUCCCGGUGUAGUGGUGGAAAUGCGUAGAUAUCGGGAGGAACACCAGUGGCGAAGGCGGCUUCCUGGCCUGUUCUUGACGCUGAGGCGCGAAAGCUAGGGGAGCAAACGGGG